GAUGAACGCUGGCGGCGUGCUUAACACAUGCAAGUCGAACGGAAAGGCUCCUGCUUGCAGGGGUACUCGAGUGGCGAACGGGUGAGUAACACGUGGGUGAUCUGCCCUGCACUUCGGGAUAAGCCUGGGAAACUGGGUCUAAUACCGGAUAGGACCACAUUUUGCAUGGUGUGGUGGAAAGUUUUUCGGUGUGUGAUGAGCUCGCGGCCUAUCAGCUUGUUGGUGGGGUAAUGGCCUACCAAGGCGUCGACGGGUAGCCGGCCUGAGAGGGUGUACGGCCACAUUGGGACUGAGAUACGGCCCAGACUCCUACGGGAGGCAGCAGUGGGGAAUAUUGCACAAUGGGCGCAAGCCUGAUGCAGCGACGCCGCGUGGGGGAUGACGGCCUUCGGGUUGUAAACUCCUUUCGCUAGGGACGAAGCGCAAGUGACGGUACCUGGAGAAGAAGCACCGGCUAACUACGUG
rnacentral:rRNA from 1 species